GAUGAAGAACGUAGCGAAAUGCGAAAAGUAAUGUGAAUUGCAGAAUUCAGUGAAUCAUCGAAUCUUUGAACGCACAUUGCGCCCGCCAGUAUUCUGGCGGGCAUGCCUGUUCGAGCGUCAUUUCAACCAUCAAGCCCCCGGCUUGUGUUGGGGACCUGCGGCUGCCGCAGGCCCUGAAAAGCAGUGGCGGGCUCGCUGUCACACCGAGCGUAGUAGCAUACAUCUCGCUCUGGGCGUGCUGCGGGUUCCGGCCGUUAAACCACCUUCAUAACCCAAGGUUGACCUCGGAUCAGGUAGGAAGACCCGCUGAACUUAAGCAUAUCAAUAAGCGGAGGA
rnacentral:misc_RNA from 1 species